rnacentral:rRNA from 1 species
AUGGGUGAUGUUGGUGGAUCACAAGUAUAUCCUGCCUCAGCCUAUCCACCUGGAGCAACAGUGGCUGCAGCUCCUGGUAUCACUCCUGCCGGUUCACAGCCGACGCCACCAUUCCCUGCAAAUCCAGGUCAGCUUAGUGCUGAGAACCAGCUUAUGUACGAGCAGUCGCAGCAGUAUCAGCAGCAGCUCCAGCAACUGCACCAGAGGCGGCUCCAGCAGUUCUGGGCCGAACAACGGUCAGAGAUCGAGCAGGCCACUGACAUCAAGAAGCACCCCGUGCAGCUCAAAAGGAUAAGGAAAAUCAUGAAGGCCGAUGAGGGCGUUCACAUGAUCUCGGCAGAAGCUCCGGUGGUGUUUGCGAAAGCAUGUGAGAUGUUGACACUGGAGAUGACGAUGAGGUCAUGGAUGGUCACCGAGGAGAACAAGCGCCGGAUCAUGAAGAAGAGUGACGUUGCCGAUGCUGUUGCUAGGACUGACAUCUACGACUUCCUGGCGGACAUAAUCUGCAUGGACGAGACGGAGGAGGAGGGAGUCGGGCUUCGCAGAGCCUGGCCGCCGCCACCCUUGGGGGCUCCGGCUGGCGCAUACCCGCAUUACCGCCCGCCGCAGCUGCAGGUGCCAGGUGCAGCAAUGGUGCACGGUGGCCAGCAGGUGCCGCAGGGCCAUCUGCCGCAUGUGUGGAUAGAUCUUCAGGAACAGGGACAGAAGGGACAUCAUGCGGAGGAUCAGCAAUCUGAAAGCGGCUGA